rnacentral:rRNA from 1 species
UGGGGAAUAUUGCACAAUGGGCGCAAGCCUGAUGCAGCCAUGCCGCGUGUAUGAAGAAGGCCUUCGGGUUGUAAAGUACUUUCAGCGGGGAGGAAGGCGUUGUGGUUAAUAACCACAGCGAUUGACGUUACCCGCAGAAGAAGCACCGGCUAACUCCGUGCCAGCAGCCGCGGUAAUACGGAGGGCGCAAGCGUUAAUCGGAAUUACUGGGCGUAAAGCGCACGCAGGCGGUCUGUUAAGUCAGAUGUGAAAUCCCCGGGCUCAACCUGGGAACUGCAUUUGAAACUGGCAGGCUUGAGUCUCGUAGAGGGGGGUAGAAUUCCAGGUGUAGCGGUGAAAUGCGUAGAGAUCUGGAGGAAUACCGGUGGCGAAGGCGGCCCCCUGGACGAAGACUGACGCUCAGGUGCGAAAGCGUGGGGAGCAAACA